AACUCUUAGCAGUGGAUCACUUGGCUCGUGCGUUGAUGAAGAACGCAGCUAGCUGCAAGAAUUAAUGUGAAUUGCAGGACACAUUGAUCAUCGACACUUCGAACGCACUUGCGGCCCCGGGUUCCUCCUGGGGCUACGCCGGUCUGAGCGUCG
rfam:Alligator sinensis unplaced genomic scaffold scaffold721_1, whole genome shotgun sequence